rnacentral:sRNA from 1 species
UGGUAAGCAAAGAAACUAAAAAUGCUCUAUUUAUAUACAGGCCAGGUAUAUAGGGGGAGGGCCCACAGUCUUCAAGCUUCCCCAUACAGCACCGCCAAUCUACCUAAACUCUGAUUUGAAAGGACCACUAACUGCAGGGGUGAGAAAUUCUAAUUCAUUUUCCAUAGUCAUUCCAUCCUGCUCCCCU